rnacentral:rRNA from 1 species
GUGGGGAAUAUUGGACAAUGGGCGAAAGCCUGAUCCAGCCAUGCCGCGUGUGUGAAGAAGGUCUUCGGAUUGUAAAGCACUUUAAGUUGGGAGGAAGGGCAGUAAGUUAAUACCUUGCUGUUUUGACGUUACCGACAGAAUAAGCACCGGCUAACUUCGUGCCAGCAGCCGCGGUAAUACGAAGGGUGCAAGCGUUAAUCGGAAUUACUGGGCGUAAAGCGCGCGUAGGUGGUUUUGUAAGUUGGAGGUGACAUCCACGGGCUCAACCUGGGAACUGCCUCCAAAACUGCAUGACUAGAGUACGGUAGAGGGUAGUGGAAGUUCCUGUGUAGCGGUGAAAUGCGUAGAUAUAGGAAGGAACACCAGUGGCGAAGGCGACUACCUGGACUGAUACUGACACUGAGGUGCGAAAGCGUGGGGAGCAAACAGGAUUAGAAACCCUGGUAGUCC